GGCUGGUCCGAAGGUAGUGAGUUAUCUCAAUUGAUUGUUCACAGUCAGUUACAGAUCGAACUCCUUGUUCUACUCUUUCCCCCCUUCUCACUACUGCACUUGACUGGUCUUUU
ensembl:misc_RNA Y_RNA Y RNA